rnacentral:snRNA from 1 species
GGGUGGGAAAGCAGUCUGUCUGUGUUAUCUGGCACCCCACUGAUCACCAGUGUUAACUAGGCUGAUCUGGCUAGCUAGGUGAGUGUCGCCUUCCUCCUUCACCACCCAUGAAUCCCUCCAGAAACUGUAUGAGUCAACCAGUCAAGGAGGACCUUCCCAGACAGAGAAGUCCCGAGGAAGCUGUUCUUUGGUCAAGGAUGUACAAGUAGCUGCACUCUCCUGUUAGAACCUCCAAACAGGCAAAAUCUCCAUUUUCCACGGUGAGAGUCAAUGACAGAAUGCUUCCUAGGAAGUGGCAUUUAUUU